UACAGGGGGGGCAAGCGUUGUUCGGAAUUACUGGGCGUAAAGGGUUCGUAGGUGGCCAACUAAGUCAGACGUGAAAUCCCUCGGCUUAACCGGGGAACUGCGUCUGAUACUGGAUGGCUUGAGUUUGGGAGGGGGAUGCGGAAUUCCAGGUGUAGCGGUGAAAUGCGUAGAUAUCUGGAGGAACACCGGUGGCGAAGGCAGCACUCUGGGACGUGACUGACGCUGAGACGCGAAAGCGUGGGGAGCAAACAGG
rnacentral:rRNA from 1 species